rnacentral:snRNA from 1 species
GUGCUCACCUCACCAGCACAUAUACAAAAAUUGAACAAUACAGAGACUAUUAGCAUAGCCUCUGGGCAAACAUGACAUACACAUUUGUGAAGCAUAUCAUAUUUUU